GGCAAUAGACAAGGAAAUCAAGGUUGGAACUACUACGACAAGGCUGGUUACAAGGAUAGGGGUCAAGGAAACUGAAAAAGUAAGAAUGAUAGGAGUGGACUAUAUGUACCUCCCGAAAGCAGAGAUAAUGCUACAACUAGCUCUAGCAAGAUGUCCAUGAAGGACAUGAUGGAGAAAUUAUUAAAGGGAGUUGAAGUUAC
rnacentral:lncRNA from 1 species